rnacentral:rRNA from 1 species
GAUGAACGCUAGCUACAGGCUUAACACAUGCAAGUCGAGGGGCAGCAUGAUUGAAGCUUGCUUCAUUCGAUGGCGACCGGCGCACGGGUGAGUAACACGUAUCCAACCUGCCGAUAACUCGGGGAUAGCCUUUCGAAAUAAAGAUUACUACCCGAUAUUAUAGUAUUUCCGCAUGGUUUCACUAUUAAAGAACUUCUGUUAUCGAUGGGGAUGCGUUCCAUUAGAUAGUUGGCGGGGUAACGGCCCACCAAGUCAACGAUGGAUAGGGGUUAGGAGAGGAAGGUCCACCAGAAUGGAACUGAGACACGGACCAAACUCGUACGGGAGGCAGGAGUGAGGAAUAGUGGUGAAUGGACGAGAGUCUGAACCAGCCAAGUAGAGUGAAGGAGGACUGCCGUAUGGGUUGUAAACUUCUGGUAUACGGGAAUAAAGUGGAGUAUGCAUACUCCAUUGUAGGUACCGUAUGAAGAAGGAUCGGCUAACUCCGUG